GAGAUCUUUUUCCAUCUUCCUCACUACUUUUGAUGCUUUCUCUUGGGGCAUGUACCUAGUAGGCGUAGGAAAUAAGCAACAUAGGUAUGAAUUUUUUAUUGUUUUUUGUGAAAAUAACAUUUGGGUAUGUUGAUUUUGUCUUUGAUUUGAUACGGGUAUUUCUUAAAUUUUGUUGUUGUGUAAAAGUUGGUUCUUACUCUUUUGAUGAUGUGUGUGAUAGCUAAUUGUGAUUAUUGGUAAACCCUAUAAAAGUUCUUAAAUUUGUUGUGCAUUGGUUGAUUUGAGCUGGUUAGGAUAUGGCUUCUCUUUCCUUUUCCUUCUUUUUUUAUGGUGAAAGUAGUUAAAUUUGACAAUUCAUCUGAAUUGUUAAGUGAAUAGAUUCAAUAGAACAUGUGCUGGUGUUGUUGAAAUUAGUCAUUGGGGUUGCAAGGAGAUGCUGAUUGGGAGACAUCUCGCUGUAGGUGUGAUGGAGUUGAAAUAUAUUUGUGUAUGCUUCAUGGUGUUUUAAGAGUAUUUUGGAAUUAGAAUUGUUUAUUUCGGCUUUUCUCUUGGAUUAGAUUUUCUUUUAAAUGAAUUUGAUUUCUCAAUAUAUUUUUGAACGUAUGUGUUCGGUAUUCUCUCUUUUCCCAUUUUCCUGAAAACGAAAAAUAAUGUUGUCUUUUUCAGAAGCUAUUUCUCUUGUUUAUGCUCUUCUUUGCACAGCUCAUGUGUGAAACUUUUUGCCAUAAUUGAUUGCUAUACUUGUCGGUACGAAAGCUAGCAAUUAGAUUCACGUGAUUUGGAACCCUCUCUAUCUCAUUUUCAUUGACGUUGUGAUAUCACUUUCAUUGUUUUACAGGAGUUUAGUUGCUUUGAUAUUUAGGUGUAUUGACUGUUUAUAUAAAGGAAUAUGUAUCCAGAAUCAGAAAAUUCAAUUGUGAAAGGUAUAUUACUUCAACUUUUAAGCUUUUCUGUUAAGGUCAUUCAGUAUCUUGUAUCUUUCCCUUUUCCUAAAAACAGGAAUGUUGUCUUUCAAGAUUCACGUGAUUUGGAACCCUCUCUAUCUAAUUUUCAUUGACAUUGUGGUAUCACUUUCAUUAUUUUACCGGAGUUUAGUUGCUUUGCAAUUUAGGUGUAUUGACCAUUAAUAUAAAGGAAUAUGUAUCCAGAAUCAGAAAGUUCAAUUGUGAAUGGUAUAUUACUUCAACUUUUAAGCUUUUCUAUUAAGGUCAUUCAGUAUCUUGUAUCUUUCCCUUUUCCUAAAAAAGAGGAAUGUUGCCUUAAUCUGAAAGUUUUUAUGCAGAUGAUUGACAUACUUGUUGGGACUAAAACAAUAGAAAAUAGAUUUAUGGGAUUUGACAUCCUCCCAAUCGUGUUUUGCUUGCUUUGUUGGUGUCAUUUUCAUAGUUUUACUAACUAAAUUGAAACAUGAGACCUGUCAUAUACUCUAUUGUAAUUCAUUCCAAGAGACUGUCCGGAACUGAAAAUAGCAUAAAAUCACGGUAUGAUUGUCGAAUUGUGACUUCUAUGUUUGGUUGGGAGUGGAGUAAUGGCGAAAGACUUGAAAGGUGACACUUCUUCAAAAGCUGAAUCAUCAUCUCAGCAACAUUUGUCUCGAGAGGAAAAUGAAUCUUUAAAGGAUUGUUUGUCGACUUUAGAAGACAAGAUGGAAUAAUUUAAGCAAUUCAAAGUAUUUGUAUUAGCUCAACACUCCGACGUCCAGCCUUCGACACCGCCUGAUUCAGAAAAUGACCAUUGACUUUAUAACCAUACCAAGUAAGUAACAAUUUAUCCGAAAAUUUAAUAUAUUUUGUUUAUUUUCAUAGAUGUGGUGUUGAAUUCUGUUAGUAUGCACUGGUGAUCUUUUCUUUCCAAGGAUUCCACAUAUGUGGCUAUUGGCUAUCCAAGAAUUUAGUAUGGCCUCUUUUCAUAAUGUCAGGUUAUCCAAACUUCAAUAACUUUUGGUUCAUUUUCUGCUGAAGCACAACACUACAAAAAUACUGAAACGCAAUUUAGAAAAUAGUAAACUGCAUUUAAGAAAUACAGAAACGCAAUGCAGCAAAAAAUACAGUGCAGAAAUACUAAAACGCAGUGCAGAAAUACAGAAAAAGCAGUGCAGAAAUGCUGAAACGCAGUGCAGAAAUGCUGAAAAACUGUGCAGAAAUGCUGAAAAAGCUAUGCAGAAAUGCUGAAAAACUGUGCAGAAAUGUUGAAAAAUUGUGCAGAAAUGCUGAAAAAGCUAUGCAGAAAUGCUGAAAAUGCAUUGCAGGUAUCGAAAAUGAAGAAAGGGAAGGAGACAGUGAAGACGUUGAUCUUACUUGAGAAGAUCUUUUAUGAAGCUUUCUACAUGUUCUAAGAAUCUUUUUGCUAUCGAACAUUUUGAAACUUAUCCUAAAUCUUGAAAUGUAAAACUUAAUUAUGCA